rnacentral:rRNA from 1 species
UGGGGAAUUUUGGACAAUGGGCGCAAGCCUGAUCCAGCAAUGCCGCGUGAGUGAAGAAGGCCUUCGGGUUGUAAAGCUCUUUUGUCAGGGAAGAAACGGUGAGUUCUAAUACAGUUCACUAAUGACGGUACCUGAAGAAUAAGCACCGGCUAACUACGUGCCAGCAGCCGCGGUAAUACGUAGGGUGCAAGCGUUAAUCGGAAUUACUGGGCGUAAAGCGUGCGCAGGCGGUUUUGUAAGUUUGUCGUGAAAUCCCCGGGCUCAACCUGGGAAUGGCGAUGAAGACUGCAAGGCUAGAAUCUGGCAGAGGGGGGUAGAAUUCCACGUGUAGCAGUGAAAUGCGUAGAGAUGUGGAGGAACACCGAUGGCGAAGGCAGCCCCCUGGGUCAAGAUUGACGCUCAUGCACGAAAGCGUGGGGAGCAAACA